UUAGAAAACUUAUAGCACCUUAUAUAAUUCCAAAGAUGAAAUAUAAAAUAGAGCGUCGCAGCCCCGUAGAGACUUAGAUGGAAGGUACCAGAUAAUCUGGAAUUAAACUUCUAUUAAACGUCGGCUCCCGAUGUACAUCGGGAUGAAGAUAUAGUCCAUGCCCUCAGUAAUGAGUGG
rnacentral:autocatalytically_spliced_intron from 2 species